UACGAAGGGGGCUAGCGUUGUUCGGAUUCACUGGGCGUAAAGCGCACGUAGGCGGAUUGUUAAGUCAGGGGUGAAAUCCUGGAGCUCAACUCCAGAACUGCCUUUGAUACUGGCGAUCUUGAGUCCGGGAGAGGUGAGUGGAACUGCGAGUGUAGAGGUGAAAUUCGUAGAUAUUCGCAAGAACACCAGUGGCGAAGGCGGCUCACUGGCCCGGUACUGACGCUGAGGUGCGAAAGCGUGGGGAGCAAACAGG
rnacentral:rRNA from 1 species